GUCAAAGUCUCCACCAUCAAUCAUAGCCGAGCUAUUUAACUCGUUCAGUCCUCCGGCAAGACCCCUCAAGUCACCAAGGUUGGCCUUUGGAGGUACGUUCCCGGCCAAUGUAUUUGUAUUUCCUGAAAUAUAUUGAGAGUAGCAAAUCCAAAUUUAGUUCUAGUCACUCUUUAAAGAAUGUGGUUCAUUUGAAUAGAAGCCAUCUAUUCAUUUAUGAAACAAGUCGUUAAAUUUAGUGCAGUCUUGAGCAUUUUGAGCUGAUCUUGUUUGUGUGUUAUUAUUUUUCGUACCUGUAAUUGAACCGACGAUUAUAAGUCUCUUUGAAGGGUAAUCAGACUGCUUCAUGUCAUCAAGCAGCAAUCUUGAAAGAAGGAAGUGGCCUACAUGGUUUGUCCCGACACUAAGCUCAAACCCGUCAGCUGUAAAAGAAGGCUGUUUAGCAGUUGGUUGAUAAACAGCUGCAUUGCAGACGAGGACAUCAAGAGGUCGCCCGGAUCGCUUGAAAUUAUCCACAAAUUGCCUGACACUGUCGAGCGAAGCGAG
rnacentral:lncRNA from 1 species